rnacentral:rRNA from 1 species
GAUGAACGCUGGCGGCGUGCUUAACACAUGCAAGUCGAACGGUGAACGAGGGAGCUUGCUCCCUCCGGAUCAGUGGCGAACGGGUGAGUAACACGUGAGCAAUCUGCCCUGGACUCUGGGAUAAGCGUUGGAAACGACGUCUAAUACCGGAUACGAGGCGUGGGGGCAUCCCCAACGCCUGGAAAGAACUUCGGUCCAGGAUGAGCUCGCGGCCUAUCAGCUAGUUGGUGAGGUAACGGCUCACCAAGGCGACGACGGGUAGCCGGCCUGAGAGGGUGACCGGCCACACUGGGACUGAGACACGGCCCAGACUCCUACGGGAGGCAGCAGUGGGGAAUAUUGCACAAUGGGCGCAAGCCUGAUGCAGCAACGCCGCGUGAGGGACGACGGCCUUCGGGUUGUAAACCUCUUUUAGUAGGGAAGAAGCGAAAGUGACGGUACCUGCAGAAAAAGCACCGGCUAACUACGUGCCAGCCGCCGCCGUAAUAC